UAAAGGCAGCAUCCUACAUUUUCUCUUUGG
rnacentral:piRNA from 1 species